GCUCCACCUGGAGCAGGGCUCCGGAGCAGGGGGCCAGCCACCCCUCUCCCCAAGGCCCCAGGGCUCCAGACUCCAGAUCCCCCGCCUUUGCUGUUUACAACUCCAGGAAACUCCCUGCAAUCCAAGGCAGCCCAUUCUACUGAACAGCAGCUCUCAUGAAGCGAGAUCCAGGGAGCCGCAGAAGGGGAACAGGAGGACCACGAGGCUGCCACAGCCCGCUGGGUCCCCGGAUGCUCAGACCCAAACACCGGCUUUCACAGGGAGCUCCGAAGUCAGAAGGGCGCCUAAUCCGAGCGCCUGUCCGGGCCCUGCCCCCAGCCCCGGUCCCGCAGCCGCCAUGCGCCACCUUGUGCCCCUCAAGGACACUGCAAGGGCAGCACUGACGCCAUUUUACAGAUGAGGAAACUGAGACCCAGAGAGGUGUGUCUGCAGAAGGCUCGCCCCAGUAAACCCGCAUGCAGUCCUCCAGUGCAGAGUCGCUUUCCAGGAACCCAUCUAAGGUUCUAGUCACAGACAGAGCCCAGUCUCAACACUGAGUGAGACCCAAGGCAGGCCACUCCAAGAUCCCUCUCUGUGGCGGACACUGGGCUGGGCGCUGGCAAGACAGACCUAAAAGUGACAGAGGUGCUCGAGUCAAGGUGAAUGUAUAUGAUUCAUCGUGCAAACGGGGACAUGUGUGAAGGGAAGUCUACUAAUAAUUAUGGUGGGACCGCAGCGUAAACCCUGGCAAACCAAGGUGCAAGGUCACUCCCGUUAAAUAGAAAAGUGAGGGGAGACUUAAUCGAUGGAGGACAGGCAGAGGGGAGUCUUGGCAGGGGUAAUGGCAGGUACGGGGAUGUGGCAAGCUUGGGGACAAGUGGAGAGUUUAUGGUGGCAAGGAUGUGGUGUGUGCUGCGGAGAAGGAGCAGAAGAGAGGCCGGGGUCUCCAGGCGGUAAGAGGUGGGCAGUUUGGAACAAUUAGAACAGGAUGGCAGACACCUUGCAGCUGCCAGCCCUGGACCCAUGGCAGGAUCACUAAGUGACCAUCACACUCCUUCCCACUGAUUCAGCCUCACGGCCCUCCACACAGUGUUGGGGGGCGGGGAGGGGGCCAGUCACUGCCAGCGGAAAAGCUGGGCCCCAGAUGAAACCUAUUUGACAUUGGAGGCUAAGCGGUGGGUACAAGUGUGGACUUUGCUGGAGAUGAGGCUGGAGUUCAAACUGAAAGAGACCUAGAAUGUGGGGGAAGGAGCUAGAAUGUUGUCUAGGUAUUAGGGAGCCAUCAGAGGGUGUUGGGGGGAGGGAUAUAACUAGACUAACAUUUCAGGAGUUGGUCUAAAUGAUCACUGCCAUUGGUGGAAGGACCUGGAAUGACAGGGUGAGAACGGAUGGGGCUCUGACCGCAUGUGGAGCAGAGACGUGGGGCUGAAGGCCGAGAAGAGGUUUUUCAUGGGGCAGGGAAAGAAGAGGCAGGCAGAUAGGCCUCUGGAGUCCUGGCCCCAGUGGGAAGACUGUUGGCAGGGAGGUGUAACAGCACAGCAGGAGGUCCUGAUAGGAAUCUUUGUUCCAGAGGCCGCCCUGAGACUCUGUGCCCCCAGGGGGAAGGAGGCCCAACAGGUCCGGUGGCUUUUACUGUGGAGAGCAUCAGAGCCUGGAGAAAUUCACCUUUAGAGGGAAACAAACCAUCAUGAAAUGCACCCCCCCCCCACUCAGGGCCCCCCCGCAGAGGAGAGGAGGUGGCCCUGGUACUGCUUAUAAUGUCUGGGGGUAACUGCAAGAGGGGGGCACUGACACGUCAUCCCUGAUUGGAUGUCUGCUUAGCCAUGGGCUGCCACCUGCCCCAGGGCCACCAGAAAGGGACAUGGGGGCACAGUGCCAGGGUAAGGGCCUUUGGUUUCUGGCUCCAGGGAGGCAGAGUGGUUGAGUGGAGCCACCAGCUGUGGCCAGUUGAAGGAAGUGGAGGCUGCAGGCUCCCUGGAGUCUUCUCAGCCUGGGGCCAGGGUCUCGGCCCUGGGGGUGGGUGUGGGGAGCUCAGAGCACAGGGUGGCUUUGUCUGAGGAGGGGCCACCAGUGCCUGGGAGAGGGGCCAGGAAUUGAGUCCCUGGUCAGUGGAACCCUGGGGGCCUCCACCUGCUACCACCAGAUCUACAGGCGUUGAGCUAAUUCCACCACAGCCGUGACUCUCCAAAGGGGAACCACAGCCUGGCCAGGUGCCUCUAGAAGGACGACCAUUCCCUCUGUCUUCUCCCUUAACCCCAGCCCUGGGGUGAGCCCAGAGGAAGGGCGUGGAUGCAUGUGUGACAGAGACGACACACGCACAUACGUGCACAUUCACACACUCAGGCCCCCAGAGCUCCCAGCUUGGCUCACCUUGUGGUGGAAGAAGAAAGUUUGGAAUCAAAUCUGAGCCUGAAGGUUUUUUUUGGUUUUGGUUUUUUUUGGCUGCUCGCAUGGCAUGUGGAAGUGCUCGGAAUAAGGAUUGAACCCACGUUGUAGCCGUGACCCAAGCCCCUACAGUGACAAUGCAGGAUCCUUAACCCACUGUACCACAAGAGAACGCCUGAGCCUAAAGUUUUACAAGGCCCAGGUCUUGGGAGUUCCUAUUGUGGCACAGAGGGUUAAGAAUCUGACUGCAGCGUCUGGAGUUGAGGCAUAACAUGGGUUUGAUCUCUGGUUUGGCGCAGUGGGUUAAAGGAUCUGGCGAGGCCACAGCUAUGGCACAGGUCACAGCUCUGGCUCAGAUUCAGCCCCUGGCUCAGAACGUCCUUAUGCAGAGGUGUGGCCAUUAAAAAAGUAAACUCCCAGAGCUUAACCAGAAUGAGACUGCUUUUAUAUCCAAAAGUGUCUAAACGUUAGAAACUGGACCAAAUACUGUCAAAGGUGCAGAACUCCCCUCUGGUGGAGGGGCUCACAGAGCCCAACUGGUAGCUGUUCUUCGAAAAAUAAAGCUGUGCCCAAAUUGUAACCCAGUGAAUGACCCGAAGGUCUUUAAUGAGCCGUUUCCAAGGGGAACACAGAAAGGGGAUGGGAUUUGAAGGGGAAAGAUGAUCAGAGACCAGGAUGGAACAAAGCUUUAUUGAAUGAAUUAGGCAGAGGGGUCCGGGAAGGUCAGACACCUGUCUGUCCACCCCCUGCAAGGUCUGGGAGCGCUGUCCCUAUGGGAAUCGUGGGGUCACUGUGUCAAUGGUUGGGCUUCUGCCCUCAACCCAAUGCUGAGCCCCCUCUAGGUUGGUUUCAGACUUGAGGAGACCUCUCCCUCCAAGGCCGGGCCUGAAUCUCAGGAUCCCUUAACCUUAAGUGGGCCCCGUGGGCCAGGCCUGAAACCAGGGAGGUGACCUUCCAGAGAGGAAGGGGCCAGCAGCCAGAGCUUGGCCCUCGCUUAGCCUGUCACCCCUGGGGCCAGGGCGGGAAGACAGCAGAGGGAAGAGGAGGAGGAGAGCUUUGGCCAAGGGUGGGGUCGGAUUCCCCCAGGUCCGGCUCCCUUGUGGGAGGUGGCGGGUAAGGAAAGAACGUGUGAACGAGGGAGUCUUGCCCCCAGUGCCUAGCGCUGCAGAGAGGGGUUCGGUUCGUGUCGGGGUGUCUGAGGGUGAGGGGUCUGGGGUGAUCCAGGGGGAUGGAUGUGAGGUCGGGGGCCCUCAGGAGAAGGACAUCUGGAUGUCAUCAGAGUCGAGCGGACGUGCAGCCUUGGAGCCAAAGCAGAGAGCACGAAGAGGCGGCGAGGAGAAGGGAGCCUCGGAGGAGCCUGUAUUUGGAGGCGGGAGGAAAAGCUGCAGGAACUGGCCCAAGAGCUCCGCAGCCGCCAGAUCCUGGCCGGCCUCCGGGCCCUUCUGGCAGCUGACAAGAUGCAUCUCUCAACUGCUCUGGAAAACCUAAUGGCCUUGAGUCUGCCCAGGUGGGCAGCGGGACAAAUGUACCUCCCCGCUUCCUGCACCCCCUCCUCGGGCUCUGGCGGCUGCUCAGGGCCGCCUCUGAGACCGCCCCACCCUGGCCAGCGGCACCCUCCUCCCUCUUGGGGCUCAGCGUUCCAGACUUUCUCCUCAUCAGAGUUUACCAGGCAGGUCUGAUUCUCUCUCCCGAGUCCCCCGCCAAGUUCUGCCUGGCUCCCUGCCCCUCUCUCUCCUCUUCUUAGAGCAGGAGCCAGUUGAGGCCUGCGAUGAGCCUCGAGCCAGGCCCGGGGACCCUUCCCACCCAAGGCAACGAAGCCAGCCCACUGCCGCUCAGAAGUCCCUCUGCUUGAGGAGUUCCUGUUGUGGUGCAGUGGAAAUGAACCCGACUAGUAUCCAUGAGGACGCAGGCAGAACAAUUCAACCUUUCCAGGCCCAAUCCCAAAUCCUGCCCAACUUUGCACAGUCCAGCCUGGGAAGGCACAGACACAGAAAGGACCCGUCUUUGAACAGAACUGGCCUUCCUUCCAGGGCAGCCAGCUGACAUUGACCAUGGGCUCCCUCACAGGUAAAUGGGCUGAACAGUGACUCCAUACAGUACGCAAAGGCUAUGCCCUUUCUUUCCCUUUCUGUCUGCCCCCUCUCCCCCAUCUCCAUUAGGCUGAAAGUAAACAGUGACCAGUGUGGCAGAUCCAGGGUCUACUGGGCAUCCGUUAAGACUCCAGCCUUACUGAGCUAUUGGGAACGGGGUGCUGACUUCCAGGGGUCUCUGCCCAGCCUGGAGUUGCUGGGGCCACCUUUUCGAGCUCAUGGGAAAACCUACCUAAUAAAAGA
rnacentral:lncRNA from 1 species